GACGAUAGGUGGAGAGGCUCAUAU
rnacentral:siRNA from 1 species